CCUACGGGAGGCAGCAGUGGGGAAUAUUGCGCAAUGGGCGAAAGCCUGACGCAGCGACGCCGCGUGAGGGAUGAAGGUCUUCGGAUCGUAAACCUCUGUCAGCAGGGAAGAACGGUCACUGUGCUAAUCAGCAGUGAAUUGACGGUACCUGCAAAGGAAGCACCGGCUAACUCCGUGCCAGCAGCCGCGGUAAUACGGUGGGUGCGUGCGUUAAUCGGAUUUACUGGGCGUAAAGGGCGCGUAGGCGGUAUGUCAAGUCAAGGGUGACAUCCCCGGGCUCAACGUGGGAAGUGCCUUUGAAACUGGCAGACUGGAGAGUGUGAGAGGAAAGUGGAAUUCCAGGUGUAGGAGUGAAAUCCGUAGAUAUCUGGAGGAACAUCAGUGGCGAAGGCGACUAUCUGGCACAUAACUGACGCUGAGGAGCGAAAGCGUGGGUAGCAAACAGGAUUAGAUACCCCUGUAGUC
rnacentral:rRNA from 1 species